rnacentral:rRNA from 1 species
UACGUAGGGGGCUAGCGUUGUCCGGAUUUAUUGGGCGUAAAGAGCGUGUAGGCGGCCAGGUAGGUCUGCUGUGAAAACUCGAGGCUUAACCUCGAGAUGUCGGCGGAAACCAUCUGGCUAGAGUCCGGAAGAGGAGAGUGGGAUUCCUGGUGUAGCGGUGAAAUGCGCAGAUAUCAGGAAGAACACCCGUGGCGAAGGCGGCUCUCUGGGACGGUACUGACGCUGAGACGCGAAAGCGUGGGGAGCGAACAGG